AGGAAGACUACUGGAAGGAACACCCUGCAUGACUGACUCCAGUUUCCUGCUAGCGCAGCCAGACAUGGGUAGGCUGAUGCAUCUCUGCUGACUACAACUGAAUUGAUCUUGCUUAGUCCAGCAUUUAAUUUGGCUUGCUACUGCAAAGGUGACAUGGGAACUGGAACAACUGUAAACCACUUCCAGGCACUUCUUACUGCACAGAGAAACUGCUGCUAUAAUAUUCUUCUGAUCCAUCUGAAGGACUUCUCCAUUCAUGUGAUUGAAUUUUUACACAGCUGUUUCUAAUUUUGCUAUCAAAUAUGUAAACGGUAGAAGGCUGAGAAAUUGAAUAGGUAUUCAUUUAGUACAAAAGAUAUAUAUUUUAUGCUUUAAAUUGGCCCCAAAUUUACAAUGAAUGAGAUUAGUUUUGCAUAUUGACUUUUUUAACUGUCCUUGGGUUCAGACAGAAGAGCCUUGUAACUCAAGCUAGUUUCGUCCAUGAUGUCUGCUGUUCUGGUUGUUUAUUUUAAUCCUACUGAUUGUAUUAACUUAUCCUAAGGCCUACCAAUAUUAAUGCUAGUUUAAUGUUGCCAACAAGUAGCAGUUCCUGCAGAGAUAUGUUACUGGAAACUGCUGUACCCAGUACCUUAUAAAAUUGAAUUAUUUUUCAUUGAGAACUAAUUUGGAGCAUAGGAGUAGGAAAGUGUCUUAACUGUAGUUGUGGUACUUGAGUUAAGAUUGCUAGAUAAUGUAGGAAAUUUUAAGUGCAUUGCUAAAGUUAGUGGCAAGAUACGUCUCUCCUAAUCCUAAUUUUGUGUCCAACCUAUGAGACCAUGUGAUUAUUGACAGUGGGAGAUUGCCACCACUUCAUUUUAAUUCUGGUUGGAAAUUACUGGCAACAUCUCUGCUAUGUGAAAUACAGAUGGUAAUAAACUGCCAGCUUGCUCACAUUUCCAAA